UGUGGCUCAUAAAGUUCAUACUGCGUGUAACGAUACAAGUCGAAGCUUGCUGGAGAGUUUAACCUAUAGAUAGACAAGAGGAGCUGGGAAACCUAUUUCUCUUCAUUUUCCUACUGUGUGAGAAUGGAGCUCGGACUUCCGCAGCUUUGGGACACCCUUGUCCCAUCGACGAAUUACAUGUGGGACAAAGUCAAUGACUUGUUCCCAUCUCCCCCGGCACCAACUUUCGAUGCUGGAACAACUGCGGUUCAGAGUAAAGACAAGGGGACGAAGGACUCAGAUCGUCUUUUAUUGCUGAUGUGGGAAACAUGCAUGGCGACUCACCUAAAACGCUGGCAGAUAAGCAUCUACAUAUGACCAAGUAAUGAGACUUGCCCGUCCGUACAUUUUGGAGUGCUAGGAGAGACCAAUCUCUUGGCGGCCUGCAUGGUCUCAUCUCGGCAACCGGUUCGCAAGUUUUUAUCAACGUCAGAACCUGAAAAAUCAAAAUUAAAAUUACUGAAACAUUCAUAUUCAAAAAUAUUUUUUUCUUUUUUUUUUCGCAACCAUAAUCUGCGAUGAUUCGCAAAUAAUGGAUUAAGAUUAAUAUAUCGAUGGCCAAAGUACAAAACCGCGUAUCUCCAUUGCAGUGUUUCGAAAUCUCCGCGCCUGUUUUAUUUUUUCGAUGGAGGACUAGCCAACUUCAAACAAAUUUAUACUAUUUUUCGCUAGAUUAUUUUUAUACUAGAUUUCGCUAACAAAACAGAAAAAUCAAAGAAUUAUGUUGACUAGUCUUCCUAAGAAAAAAUAAAGUAUGAAAGAAAGUCUGCAACGUUGCAAACGGAGGUACGUCCUUCCGUACGUUGACCAUCGAUAUAUUACACACAAAUGUAUUAUUCAUUCAUGGCAUACAUUAUUCAACACAAAAUGUACAGUUUGUUUCGAUUUCAUCUGUCCUGGCAUUCGUUCAUUUCGCUCUUUCAUAAAUUAAAUGCGAAUUCCGUACAUUCAAAAUCAUUUAGAUGUUCAAGUUAAUAAAUAAAUUAAUAAAUAA